AUUACGAGCAAUGCUUAAAACCCAAAGGACUUGACGGUGUCCCACCCACCUAGAGGAGCCUGUUCUAUAAUCGAUUAUCCCCGAUAAACCCUACCACUUCUAGCCUAUUAGUCUAUAUACCUCCGUCGAUAGCUCACCAUGUAACGGGCAGCAGUAGGCUUACUGUUUCCCAUCAGCAAGUCAGAUGAAGGUGCACCUUAAGAAAUGGCAAGUAAUGGGACGAAUUUAGUAAGUUUAGAGAAACUAAAGACUGAUUUUUAAUCCGGUUUCGAAGGUGGACUUAGUAGUAAAAGGAAAUAAGAGUGUUCCCUUUAACGCGGCUCUGGGAACGCGUACAUACCGCCCGUCACCCUCUUCGAUUGUACCUAUGCCGUAUUUAACCCACCACCACAUUUUAGAAGAGGCAAGUCGUAACAUUGGUAA
rnacentral:rRNA from 1 species